rnacentral:lncRNA from 1 species
GGGUUGUUUUGCUUGCUUCGUACAACACUACUACUUGCAAUAUGUUUGUUAAGUGUUUUAGUUGUUAGAUGUAUAUUAAUGCGUUUUAUGUAUGAAAGAUAGUUUUAUUAAAAAAACUAUUUCUUUUAAAAAAGAAGUGCGCCUCGUGUUGUGUGCGCUUUCGCCUCUUGCCUCGACACUAGAGACCAUAUCACCUCGGUAAACCUAGCGUGUUUUAAAACACAACUCGUAUGUUACAAUACAGUUGCUCUAGUCUUCCAUGAGAGAACAAAACACAUUAGAAAUUGAAUCUCACUUCGUCAGUGAUUCAAUGUAAAGCUUCUUCAUGAGAUCAUUUUGACUAAGUUUGCAACUAGCAAGUCUAACGAUCAAACAUGCAUAAUUACAAAAUCUAUUUAUAGGUCAUUGAGUUGAAUAUAUAUGUAAGGAGCUUAGAGCGUAUUAAAUACUCUCUCCAGCUUGAGGGGAGUGUUAAAUAUAUUGGGUUUGCCAUAGUUAAAGUUUUGAAAUUUGUCUGUAUAAUAUACUUGCAGAUUGUAUCAUGCAAAGUGUCUCAAUACUUCUCUUUUACCUUCACAAAUCAUAUUUAUAAUCUCACAUUGUAAUUGUUUUGUUUGAUUUAUAAUCAGUUUUAUGUUUUUUGAAACUCUUAUUUUUUUAUAUUUGAAGUAGUUGACAUUUUUAUCUGAAGGUUACCUUUAUACAAAUAUAAAUAGAGUCAUAGAUGUUCUUCAAUGUUCCUCAUAUUUUAUGCAAUUGUUCUGACUCAAGAUUAAAAAAGAAACAAGAAUCAAGUUUAAAGGAGAACUAAAACAAAGUAAAAUAAAAAAUUAUUCAGGAUUCAAAAAAAAUGAUUACAUUGAACUCGAAUACGAUUCAUGAUUAACAAAACCUAAACUAAACUCAAAGAAACUACCUGAUUCAAAUCUGAUGCGAUCUAUUUUAAUACAUAUAUGAAGAAUAAGUAAGAUUUAACUCUAAAACAUCAAGGUCUCAAACACAAAUAAAAUUUUUAAUAAAACUAUUAAAUCACAAGCCAAAACCAUAAAUCAGAACUCUAAAGAAACCGAUUCAAACAAAGUAACAAAGAAAUAAAAAGGUUUGAGGUCCAAAAGGUUCGAGCAAAAGAGGGUGAGCGAUAACGGUGUCGUGGCAAUGGAAGGAAGGAUGCUGCUGAGGAGGUGUAUGUGUGUUUAUCUGUUUAAUGAGUGUGUUCAAGAGUUUAGUGCGUGUGUUUUAAUUCGUUUAAUAAUAAUACAAAUUAAUAAAAGUAAAAAUAUCAUACAACGUACAUGACUCCAAGCAUUAAACUUGCCAUACAUUCAUAUAACUUAUUUUCGCUAAUCCAUUACCAUUACCACCAUAGCACAUAAGUUCAAACUUUAAUAACUAUAUCUGAACGAAAAUUAGUACAGUUACAAUAUGUGGACAGGAAUAAAAGCAAGUUGCUAUUCUAUGUCAUCUGCCGAAUGUUAGCUGAAAGCGUAUUAUAAUUUCUUACAGUAUGCUACUAAAUUCCUUUAAAAAUAUGCUAAUAUUACAGAAAAACAUAGAUUAUUUUUUAGCAGUAAAAUUUCAUACUCAUUUAAUACAAUUAAAUAAUUAUAAAAAAUAAAAAAACAACUAAAGGUGAUUGAUUGGUAAAGGUGUACAAAUCGGUUAAUCGGUUAUUAAAAAAAC